AUGCUUUUGGACAGCCUGGAAAUUGACAUAUGUACGGCUUUUCUCCAGUGUGAGAUCGCAUGUGGAUUUUCAAGUUCUCAAGUCUUGAAAAGGCCUUGUUACAACCUGGAUGCUGUGACGGAAUAACAAUGAUGUCGAAAUUCUGUUGCGACUUCUAAUUGACCUGCGUACGAGCGUGAUGGAAGGUCYAGUUGCCCUGUCUACAAGAAGGCGGGGACAGCGUGUCAAGGACAAGUCCAGCCACCUGUGAAUGCCAACUUUGACAAGAAGACAAGCUCAAUGUCUCUCUGAACAGCUCCACGUCACUAGAAUUCCAUUGAAUAGUGAAGAACUAAACCAAACUAACCAACACAGUAAACCAACAAUAAUUACGACAACAAACAAACAAAUGUCAGAACUCUUAAGUGUCCUUCACAAACAUGGCACGAUUUAUAAGUCUUUGUUUAUCCAGUAAUUCAUAAAUAUUAAAACUAGAAUAAUUUAUGAUA